GGCGUUACACAGGUGCUGCAUGGCCGUCGUCAGCUCGUGUCGUGAGAUGUUUGGUUAAGUCCAGCAACGAGCGCAACCCCUGUUGCCAGUUACCAGCACGUGAAGGUGGGGACUCUGGCGAGACUGCCCAGAUCAACUGGGAGGAAGGUGGGGACGACGUCAGGUCAGUAUGGCCCUUAUGCCCAGGGCUGCACACGUACUACAAUGCCCGGUACAGAGGGGGCCGAAGCCGCGAGGCGGAGGAAAUCCUAAAAACUGGGCCCAGUUCGGACUGUAGGCUGCAACCCGCCUACACGAAGCCGGAAUCGCUAGUAAUGGCGCAUCAGCUACGGCGCCGUGAAUACGUUCCCGGGUCUUGUACACACCGCCCGUCACAUCAUGGAAGCCGGUCGCACCCGAAGUAUCUGAAGCCAACCGCAAGGAGGCAGGGUCCUAAGGUGAGACUGGUAACUGGGAUGAAGUCGUAACAAGGUAGCCGUAGGGGAACCUGCGGUUGGAUCACCUCCUU
rnacentral:rRNA from 1 species